rnacentral:rRNA from 1 species
GACGAACGCUGACGGCGUGCUUAACACAUGCAAGUCGUACGGUAAGGCCCUUUCGGGGGUACACGAGUGGCGAACGGGUGAGUAACACGUGAGUAACCUGCCCACAACUUUGGGAUAACGCUAGGAAACUGGUGCUAAUACUGGAUAUGUGCUCCUGCUGCAUGGUGGGGGUUGGAAAGCUCCGGCGGUUGUGGAUGGACUCGCGGCCUAUCAGCUUGUUGGUGGGGUAGUGGCCUACCAAGGCGGCGACGGGUAGCCGGCCUGAGAGGGUGACCGGCCACAUUGGGACUGAGAUACGGCCCAGACUCCUACGGGAGGCAGCGGUGGGGAAUAUUGCACAAUGGGCACAAGCCUGAUGCAGCAACGCCGCGUGCGGGAUGACGGCCUUCGGGUUGUAAACCGCUUUCAGCAGGGACGAAGCUUUUUGUGACGGUACCUGCAGAAGAAGCACCGGCUAACUACGUG